ACUUUAUACGAAAAUUUAAAAUUCAAAUAAUUAAAGUGUAUUAAUUCUUAGUAUUUUAUUGGGGCGAUAUAAGUAUAAUUAAUCAUAACUGCUUAAUUUUAAGACAUACCUAAAUGAAGUAAAUAAACCUUUUAGAAGAUAUAAAUUAAGUU
rnacentral:rRNA from 1 species